AUUGAACGCUGGCGGCAGGCCUAACACAUGCAAGUCGAGCGGAUGAAGGGAGCUUGCUCCUGGAUUCAGCGGCGGACGGGUGAGUAAUGCCUAGGAAUCUGCCUGGUAGUGGGGGAUAACGUCCGGAAACGGGCGCUAAUACCGCAUACGUCCUGAGGGAGAAAGUGGGGGAUCUUCGGACCUCACGCUAUCAGAUGAGCCUAGGUCGGAUUAGCUAGUUGGUGGGGUAAAGGCCUACCAAGGCGACGAUCCGUAACUGGUCUGAGAGGAUGAUCAGUCACACUGGAACGUGGACACGGUCAAGACUCCUAAGGGAGGGAGCAGUGGGGAAUAUUGGACAAUGGGCGAAAGCCUGAUCCAGCCAUGCCGCGUGUGUGAAGAAGGUCUUCGGAUUGUAAAGCACUUUAAGUUGGGAGGAAAGGCAGUAAGUUAAUACCUUGCUGUUUUGACGUUACCAACAGAAUAAGCACCGGCUAACUUCGUG
rnacentral:rRNA from 1 species